rnacentral:tRNA from 3 species
GGUCUCAUAGCUCAGCGGGAGAGCGUCCGCCUCACACGCGGAAGGUCGCUGGUUCGAUCCCAGCUGGGACCAC